GACGAACGCUGGCGGCGUGCCUAAUACAUGCAAGUAGAACGCUGAAGGAGGAGCUUGCCUCUCUGGAUGAGUUGCGAACGGGUGAGUAACGCGUAGGUAACCUGCCUGGUAGCGGGGGAUAACUAUUGGAAACGAUAGCUAAUACCGCAUAAUAGUAGAUGUUGCAUGACAUUUACUUAAAAGGUGCAAUUGCAUCACUACCAGAUGGACCUGCGUUGUAUUAGCUAGUUGGUGGUGUAACGGCUCACCAAGGCGACGAUACAUAGCCGACCUGAGAGGGUGAUCGGCCACACUGGGACUGAGACACGGCCCAGACUCCUACGGGAGGCAGCAGUAGGGAAUCUUCGGCAAUGGACGAAAGUCUGACCGAGCAACGCCGCGUGAGUGAAGAAGGUUUUCGGAUCGUAAAGCUCUGUUGUAAGAGAAGAACGAGUGUGAGAGUGGAAAGUUCACACUGUGACGGUAUCUUACCAGAAAGGGACGGCUAACUACGUG
rnacentral:rRNA from 1 species